AAUUCCACUCUGAUCUUAAUGCCACUAAGUGCCCUAAACCACUUAGUGCCUUCUCUGCUGGAAACCACCACUAAUGAAAACAAAAAUAAUGACAAUUCUGUUAUCUUUGUGAUGAUAUGAAGACAAGUAUGUUUUUAAAUUAGAAGUUUCUCAACACUUUGGUCAUCGAUGAGAUGUGAAUACUCUAGCCAGUGUAAACCAAGAUAAAUAAAUAAAGAUAGACCAAGACUGAGACAAAGCACAAGUACAGCUUUAGCUAACUUGGAGGAAAUGUUGCCACAUGGAUGUUUCUGAUUCACUUGGUGAGCCCAGCGCAUCACAGAUCCAAGAUGAAUUAAUGGAAAGCCAUGCCCAUGGUAAAGACAAGAGAGAUUUAUACUUUCACAGAAAUUACAAUCAUCAGACCUGAACAUUCUGAGUAAAUCCCAGUCCUGAUGUGUACCUGGUGUUCAGUUCACCUAGAAUUUUUAAGAUUGAAGAACGGGACAUCGAAGGAUAGAAAUGGUAUCAAUAGAGAAGAUAAAAAUAAACUUUCUGUAUGUUCCCUAAGCAUGGGAUAAGAAAUAAAGGGUCUGAAUUAUAGAAAGGAGAGUUAGGAGAAUAUUCAUAAUGUUCUUGUAGGAUGGAAGAUGAAGACUCCUCCCUCUCCAAUCAAAGAAGCUUAUGCAAAGAAGUGUGCCUUGGGGACAGGAGAGGAAAGGCAGGGUAGGUCUGUGAGUGCACAGCUGCUUACAAAAGAUGGUGACCAGUGGUACUCAUGAGCAGAGUCCCAGCUACUGACUCAAGUUUGUCUUCUGAGCUGUUGCUUUAGUGGGUAUAUGGCUCAAGCCAACUACAAGCUCCUUGGAGUACAUAGGAUGUCACUUUUCUAGUCUAAGCUAUUCCUCUGCCUCUGUCCUGCAGAAUACUGGGUGUGAUACCAGCUCCUGGCUCUUCUGUUACCUCAGCCAGGCAGGUGUUGAGAGGUACAUAGUACAGAUGUUUUACAAACCUAUCAUAUUAACUGAUUUCAAGUAAUGGGUACAAUAUCUUUUCAUCUGCUACUUCCAACUAUGCUUGGAGUGUUUCGAACAAUAGCACUUCCUCUCUCAAGAUCUUACAGUGUAGCAGAGCUCUUUUGAAUGUUCUCUUCAGUAUGCUUUUGUCUGUGAAAGGCAGUACAAAUUUCAGUGUAUAAACUGUGACUCUAAGGGGUGUUGAACCACAGGAUUGUCCCUCAGAGCUAUUGCUAGUUCUUCAAUGCAGUCUGUGGGAAGGACAGAACUGCUACAGAAACCAACAAGAUUAUUUUGAAAUAUUGGUGAGAAAUGAAUUAAAGAACAUUUAAGAAAGGUCCUCUUGUUACAUCUCUUACUGGAAAAAGGAGACACGAUAGAGACAAGUGUAAAGCUGUGGACACAGACUGUAUGCACAGUAUGCGUGACACACUGUACUCCUCAUGAGUAUUAUAUUUACUGAAUAGUGUCGUGG